rnacentral:tRNA from 1 species
GGGCCCGUAGCCUAGUCUGGAUAAGGCACCGGCCUUCGGAGCCGGAGAUCAGGGGUUCAAAUCCCCCCGGGCCCG